rnacentral:rRNA from 1 species
AUUGAACGCUGGCGGCAGGCCUAACACAUGCAAGUCGAGCGAGCGGCGGACGGGUGAGUAAUGUAUGGGGAUCUGCCCGCUAGAGGGGGAUAACUACUGGCAACGGUGGCUAAUACCGCAUACUAUCGGAUGAACCCAUAUGGGAUUCGCUAGUAGGUUGGGUAAAGGCUCACCUAGGCGACGAUCCCUAGCUGGUCUGAGAGGAUGAUCAGCCACACUGGGAUGGAGACACGGUCCAGACUCCUACGGGAGGCAGCAGUUGGGAAUAUUGCACAAGGGGCGCAAGCCUGAUGCAGCCAUGCCGCGUGUAUGAAGAAGGCCUGAGGGUUGUAAAGUACUUUCAGCGGGGAGGCGUUACCCGCAGAAGAAGCACCGGCUAACUCCGUGCCAGCCGCCGCGGUAAUUC